rnacentral:rRNA from 1 species
AGCAGCCGCGGUAAUUCCAGCUCCAAUAGCGUAUACUAAAGUUGUUGCAGUUAAAAAGCUCGUAGUUGAAUUUCGGGAUUGACGUGAUGGUCGUGCCUUAAGGGGUAUGAACUGUUGCUGUUGAUUUCUCACCUUCUGGAGAAACUUGAUGUCCUUAAUUGGGUGUCUUGCGGAUCCAGGACCUUUACCUUGAAAAAAUUAGAGUGUUUAAAGCAGGCAUUUUGCUCGAAUACAUUAGCAUGGAAUAAUAGAAUAGGACGGCAUGGUUCUAUUUUGUUGGUUUCUAGGAUCACCGUAAUGAUUAAUAGGGAUAGUUGGGGGCAUUAGUAUUCAAUUGUCAGAGGUGAAAUUCUUGGAUUUAUUGAAGACUAACUACUGCGAAAGCAUUUGCCAAGGAUGUUUUCAUUAAUCAAGAACGAAAGUUAGGGGAUCGAAGACGAUCAGAUACCGUCGUAGUCUUAACCAUAAACUAUGCCGACUAGGAAUCAGACGAUGUUAAUUUUUAAU